rnacentral:tRNA from 1 species
GGCCUGUUGGUCUAGAGGUAUGAUUCCUUCUUUGGGUGCAGGAGGUCCCGGGUUCAAAUCCCGGACAGGCCC